UACAGGGGGUGGCAAACGUUGCUCGGAAUUAUUGGGCGUAAAGCGCACGUAGGCGGUUUGUUAUGUCGGAUGUGAAAGCCCUUGGCUCAACUGAGGAAGUGCAUCCGAAACUGGCAAGCUAGAGUAUGUAAGAGGGUCGCGGAAUUCCCGGUGUAGAGGUGAAAUUCGUAGAUAUCGGGAGGAACACCGGUGGCGAAGGCGGCGACCUGGGACAAUACUGACGCUGAGGUGCGAAAGCGUGGGGAGCAAACAGG
rnacentral:rRNA from 1 species